GAGGUGCUCAGGGACGACCCCCAGACCGGAUCCUUGACCCAGACCAGGAGGGACGACCCCCAGACCAGGAGGGUCGCCAGGCAUGAAGAGACGAGGAGAGGACGGGAUUUCCCUCUCCAGAGCCAACCUCCGAGCGGCGCUGGACGUCACCUGAACAACGGCAGCGUCUCCGCCGGCCAGCGACUCUUCCGAAGACGUCCCGGACGUCGCCGGCUGCAGCGACGACAACCGGCGGUGAAGACGACGUAACCUCCUCAUCACGACCACCGCCAGGGACUCGGAGGACGACUGGGAUCUGGGAGAGUUUCAUCUGAAGUUCUGGGUCGGGGACGGUUUCAUGUUC